rnacentral:rRNA from 1 species
UGAGGGAAAGUUGCAAAGGACUUUGAAGAGAGAGUUCAAGAGUACGUGAAACUGCUCAGGGGCAAACGGGUGGGCCCUCGAAGUCCGCGCGGAGAGGGAUUCAGUCGCGGGACGGAGGGGUGCAAAGGUCUGCGGGAUCCCACGCAGGGACCGGACCGAGCACCGUCCUUCGGCCGGCGACGCACUUCCCUCUCCCGGAGGACGCCGCAGCCGGUCGGGUGUCGGCAGUGAGGACGUGGCGGGCAGGUGGCGUGGACCCGGUCUUGCACCGCGGUCCCGUGUCUGGCCCGUCCGAGUCCGGGCGCGACGCCCGACCGAGGGAGAGGUCUCGUUCGCGAGACGUGCCGUUGCCUCGCUACCAGGCGAGCGGACGCUGGAGCCAGGGGUUCUCCACGCACGGCGUGCCACCGAGGCGGUGGCCGCCGGCGGCCGGGGUCCCCGACGUGGGCUCGGCGAGCCGCGGAGCAGGCAGGCGGCUGGCGGCGAGUAGGUCGGUAACCCACCCGACCCGUCUUGAAACACGGACCAAGGAGUCUAACAUGUGCGCGAGUCAGUGGGACUCGAACAAGCCCACGGGCGGAACGAAAGUGAGAAGUCGGGAUCCGUCGCCCUUCGAGGCGGCGGCGCACCGACGGCCUGGCGCGACCCACCUACGGUGGAAGGCGCCCGAGCCGGAGCGCACACGUUGGGACCCGAAAGAUGGUGAACUAUGCCCGGGCAGGUCGAAGCUAGAGGAAACUCUGGUGGAGGACCGCAGCGGUUCUGACGUGCAAAUCGAUCGUCGAACCUAGG